GGACUACUAGGGUAUCUAAUCCUGUUUGCUCCCCACGCUUUCGCACCUCAGCGUCAAUAUGUGUCCAGUGAGUCGCCUUCGCCACUGGUGUUCUUCCGAAUAUCUACGAAUUUCACCUCUACACUCGGAAUUCCACUCACCUCUCCACAAUUCUAGCGAUGCAGUCUUAAAGGCAGUUCCGGAGUUGAGCUCCGGGCUUUCACCUCUAACUUACAAAGCCGCCUACGCGCGCUUUACGCCCAGUAAUUCCGAACAACGCUAGCCCCCUCCGUAUUACCGCGGCUGCUGGCACC
rnacentral:misc_RNA from 1 species